rnacentral:rRNA from 1 species
CCCUUAGAUGUCCUGGGCUGCACGCGCGCUACACUGGAAGUUACGGAUUGAGAUACUACCUUUUCCGAAAUGGUCCGGGUAAUCACCUAAAAGCUUGUCAUAAUUGGAAUGGAUUAUUGUAACUAGUAAUCCUGAACGAGGAAUUCCUAGUAAGUCCCAGUCAACAGCUGGUACUGAUUACGUCCCUGCCCUUUGUACACACCGCCCGUCGCUACUACUGAUUGGACGUUUAAGCAAGAUUUUUAAACACUGACAGUGUGUAGUUCACGCUAUACUACAGUGAGAAGAAGAAGAUCGAGCUUACUUGUCUAGAGGAAGUAAAAGUCGUAACA